AGGACCUGGAGGCAGCACAUGGGGUGGAAGAAGGGGAGAGUUAGAGAGCAAAUCAGAAACACUGCCAGAGGGAGAGGGAGAGAGGAACCGGAGCCAGAGAACAAGACAGAGCGCAAAGGAAAGAGAACCAGCUCCACGGCGAUUUAAAAGAAAAAGACCCGCGCUGAAGGCAGGGAGCUCAGGCCUUCCUAGAGGUAGGUGGGUAGUGCCAUCCAAGUGGUAUGCCUCAAGUCAGGGUGGGAACCAUGUAAGCCUCAGUUCUCACUUCUCCCCAGUCUUCACCUCUACUUUUUGCAAGAGGUUGUUGACCACGUGCCCUGGGCAGCUUCAAGACUGGUGGCUCACGCCUGUCAUCCCAGCACUCUGGGAGGCCGAGGCGGGCGGAUCACAUGAGGCCAGGAGAUUGAGACCAGCCUGGCCAACAUGGUGAAACCUCAUCUCUACCAAAAAUACAAAAAAUAGCCAGGCGUGGUGGCAUGCACCUGUAAUCCCAGCUACUCAGGAGGCUGAGGCACGAGAAUCACUUGAACCCAGGAGGCAGAGGUUGCAGUGAGCUGAGAUUGUGCCACGGCACUCCAGCCUGGGCAACAGAGUGAGACUCCACCUCAAAAGAAAAAAAUAAAAAAGACUUGCACAUAUGGAGUCACCCUGAAUAGUCCAGUGCCCAGGCCUGGCACCACUGACCAGGGCAGCAUACAGAUUCUCCUCUGCUUACAAUGGGGUCACAUCCCGAUACACCCAUCAUACAUAAAAACUAUCAUAAGUCGGUUUAGAAUAUUUUCAAUUUACAACAGUUUCAUCCAGAUAUAACCCUAUCGUGAGUGCAGAAGCAUGCAGGAUGCCUGUUGCCCCUCACUCCAUCGUGGGAUGGGGACUGUCUGUGUCUUGUUUGAGGUCUCAUGAGAUUGGGUCUCCAGAGUCCAAAUGACUUUAGAGUCAUUCAGAUUGUUCAUAAAGACAGGAGCCUGGCAAAAAACACCUGCCUGGAGCCCCCUGUGCCCUGGGGGCAGCCCAUCAUCUUUAUUGUUAAAUGCUAAUACUUAUAACCAAUAACAAAUAGUCUCAGUCUAUCCUGAACUUAAUAGCAGUAAAGCCACCCCCACCUCCAAAAGGUGAGAGGUUUGAAACCAACUCUGUGUAGCCAAGCAGGGGUGGCCCCAUCAAUGUCCCGCAGGGUCCCCUCCUGAGGAGGUGGAGACGCGAGCAUUGUCCUCUUGGCCUCCCUUCCGCCCAACCUGUCGUCCUGAACGCUUCUCAAAAAGAUGCGCCGUUGCUACUAAAUCUUUCUCUCUCCCUCUCUCUCCCUGUCUCUCUCUAGUUCUCUCUCUGUGUCUUUUUCUCUCUCUGUGUGUCUCCCUCUCUCUCCGUCUCUCUCUAGUUCUCUCUCUGUGUCUUUUUCUCUCUGUGUGUGUCUCCCUCUCUCUCCCUCUCUCUCUCUAGUUCUCUCUCUGUGUCUUUUUCUCUGUGUGUCUCCCUCUCUCUCCCUCUCUCUCUCUAGUUCUCUCUCUGUGUCUUUUUCUCUCUCUGUGUGUCUCUCUCACUCUCUCUCUCCAUCUCUGUUGAAAACACCCACCUGGAGCUUCCAAGCCUGGCAAAUACCACAGAAGGUCUACACUGGGAGCACCCGUGGUGACAGGCUAGCUUGCAGCCUGCCAGGCACUGAGGGCUCUACACAUUCACUCUGAGAGUUAGGGAGCUGACUGUGCCCAGUUCACAGAUGAAGAAACUGAGGCACAGAGGGCCCACAGAUGGCACACGGCAAACGCAGGCUCCAUCCGAGGUCAGGCUGCAGAGGCUGUACUUGGAGCCAGUGCGCUGUGCAGAGAGCUGCAGAGAGAGGAGGCAAGAAGACAGUGAAGCAGGAGGUGCAGGGAGCAGGUGAGCAAACAAAUCGUGUGGAAAUUGUGAGAACCCGUGAACUCGGGAGAAAACAGCCCAGAUCAUCCCUUCACACUCACUUUGCAUUAGAGCCAUCCAGAAGGUUAUUAAGGGUCAUCCUCCACAUGCAGCCCUGCAGGUCCUGCCUGAGCAAGCCAGGCGGGGGCUGGAUAACUCCUGGGGGACCCAGCCUUGCAGUCGGGGCUAGGAACUACUGGACUAAAUUGUCUCCACAUUUGUCCCCUCCCCAGCAUUCUAGCUCCUGAGGAGACGGUGCCCUUGCUGUCUCCUUAAUGAAGUGCAAGCACAGCUUCUCGUGCCCAUUUGUAUAUUCUACACAGGAAGCCGAGAUGCAGAGGGAAGAGUGACAAGGCCAAGGUCACACCGUGACCUUCACUGGUGAAGCCAGGAACAGGUGCAGGCUCCUGCCUUGCUCUCUUUCCUCCGACCUCCAGCUCCAGCCUGACCCACCUGGGUUUUUCCCCUCUGCAUGCAGAGACAGCAGCCUCCUUUACAGAUACAGAUGUCAAGACAGAUGAACAGGUAAGAGGGAAAAGGCUCCACGCUGGGGGCUGCUUGUGUCCCCCUGGGUCAGUCCAGCCUGACAAGGGGCCUUAUCAUUAAAGCCAUGUCAGUCUACACCAGCCCCAGCAGCCGGCUACAUUUCUUGGACACCUUUCCAGGAAGACUUGCCAGCGGUGCCCGUGCAGGGCCCACCUGGGACACACUGGCCCCGUCCAGCAAUCUGUUUCUAAUUCCCUGAUGCAGGGCGAUUUCUCCUCCUCCCUCGCUGCCGCGGGCUUCACAUGCCUCAAGGAUUACACGCUGAGUGAACUCUGUCCGCGAAGCCAAGGCAGCAGGGAGUGAGGACAACGCGUUCCAUUGUUCCCCACCCGCCUUCCCAAUGCCCUGAUUGGCAAGAAAAUGUCUCUGAGAGACGGAUGGAAAGAAAACAUUCCCGGGCUGAGGCCUCCCAUCGGGCUGAUCAGCCACCAUCACUGGGAGCCGCUGGACAGAUCUUCUGUUACCAAACAAAGCUCCCUUCUCCCUCCUUGGUCCCAGCUCCCAGGGAAAUUAACCUCAAAAUUGGGGGUGAGCCUUAGGGGACUGUUCACCCUGACUUCCGGGGCAGGCUACACUGCAAAUACUCCCUCUG
rnacentral:lncRNA from 1 species